rnacentral:rRNA from 1 species
AGAAUCAACGCUGGCGGCGUGCCUCAGACAUGCAAGUCGAACGCGAAAGUUUCCUUCGGGAAGCGAGUAGAGUGGCGCACGGGUGAGUAACACGUAGGUAAUCUACCUUUGGAUGGGGAAUAACAAUCGGAAACGGUUGCUAAUACCGCAUAAUGCAGCGGCACCUAAUGGUGACAGUUGUUAAAGCGGGGGAUCGAAAGACCUCGCGUCUGAAGAGGAGCCUGCGGCGGAUUAGCUAGUUGGUAAGGUAAUGGCUUACCAAGGCUACGAUCC